rnacentral:misc_RNA from 1 species
UUUAUAUAUUUUCGACUAAUGUUCAUGUCCAAGUUGAUUUCCAAUUCCUAAACCUUGAUGACGGCGUCGCGGCGUGGUUCCAUUGUUUGUCACCGAAUUUGAAUUUUUGCUGUCGGCAUUUGUAAUUUGGACAAUGGAUUCACAGAAGUUCUGCUUGAAGUGGGAUGGCUUCCAAGGCAGCGUCACCUCCGUGUUUGAUCACCUGAGGGCGGACUCGGAACUGGUGGAUGUCACGCUCUGCUGCGAGGGACAGCGGGUGCGAGCCCACAGGAUGAUGCUCUCGGCCUGCAGCCCUUACUUCAGGGAGCUGUUCAAGGAUCUGUCAUGCCAACAACUGGUCAUCUUUCUCAAAGACACCUCAGCUGCCGAUCUCACUGCAAUAGUGGAGUUUAUGUACAAGGGGAAGGUGAACGUGUCACAGAGCCAGCUGGCCAGCUUCAUCAAGACAGCAGAGAUGCUGCAGGUUCAGGGACUCAGCGGUGGUGAUGACAAGGACCCACCGCCAUCGCCUGCCCCUCCCCCACCCCCACCACCGGAACCAGCCCGCGCCUGGAGUCAGCAGCAACCCCAGAGCCCCGCCGCCCUUCGCCGUGCCACCGACACUGCAUCGCCGUCCGAGCCUCGUCUCAAACGGCGCCGAUCCGACCUGCCUCCGCCGCCGCCUAUUGAGAGGAAGCCGCCGACGCCCCAGCCGCAGCCGCAGCCGCCUCAGCCGGGCCCUGCGGCAGCGGUGGGGACUCCGGCGGGAGGUCAGGUUGGGGUACAGCCCCCGCCGGAGGAUGAGGCGGCUAGGGAUCAGCCGGCGGGCAUGUUUGAGGGCGCGGUCAAGGUGGAAAAGUUUGACGUCGAUCUCACGCUAGACGACGAUGAAGACACGACUGGAGCCGGUGACGAACUGGAGGCCGCACUCGGCAAUGUAGCUCAGUACGAAGGCUACGACCCGGGCUCCGAUCAGUCACUGAGUGCGGAUGGACACAUGUUCGGAGCUGGAGGCAGCGGCGAGGGCGCCAUGGGAGGAGCAGCCGGCGGACCGUACACCCCGGGCACCUCACAGCGCGCUGGAGAGGAUGGGUCACAAGAUGUGCUAAGGCCACAUCGAUGUCAUAUCUGUGGCGCUUCAUACGCCAUCCAAAACAGCCUCGGCAAGCAUAUGAAGGUGCAUUCGGGAUUGACCAUGUGUCCUGUAUGCAGCCAGAUUUUCUCCAGCAUGUUCAACCUCAGAAGACACAUGAUGGAUUUGCAUCAGAUGGAUAAGAAUGCUGUGUUUGAGAUGACCAGAGAGAAGUAGAGUGGCGUAGUUGGUUGGGGCGCACGGGUGGAGUGUGGAAGGACUAGGGUUCGAUUCCCUGCGAGGUCACCUGACAGAGUUGUAGGCUGGUUGUAGAUGUACAACCGUAGUUGUAGUGUCUACAACUACAACUACCGUGGUUGAAGACAGCAGUGAGCUCGCGAGUGAUGGUGACUGGCUGUUACCGAUCUCCCUUUGUGGGUGGAUAGCUUAACUGGGGCGUGCCCCCAUGUCCUUGUGUGCGGUCCAUACGCCUCAAUCUUGUGUGGUUAGCCUCAGUUCCAUCACCGAUUACCUACGAAAGACAUGCUGGGUAUUUGGAAUAAGUUUGAGUUGUGCUGAGCAGUACGGUGGCAUGACGUCUUGAUGUCUUAGGCAUUUGUGCUUUAUGAUAAUUUUUGUUUUGUUUUUAGAAAGACAGGUUUUUAGAAAGAAAAGAUGCUAUCGUCCAAGCGAUCACACUCGUGUGAUUUGUCGACCACAGGGGAUUUCGCACUUUGCGCCUGUGACGUGACUUCGUGCUGUUUCAAAGUUAUUGACUUGGUUUUUCUCGUCAGUCGGUCUUCUGCUCC